rnacentral:rRNA from 1 species
UGGAAGUAAAAAAUCGUAACAAGGUCUCCGUUGGUGAACCAGCGGAGGGAUCAUUACUGAGUUUACGCUCUACAACCCUUUGUGAACAUACCUAUAACUGUUGCUUCGGCGGGUAGGGUCUCCGUGACCCUCCCGGCCUCCCGCCCCCGGGCGGGUCGGCGCCCGCCGGAGGAUAACCAAACUCUGAUUUAACGACGUUUCUUCUGAGUGGUACAAGCAAAUAAUCAAAACUUUUAACAACGGAUCUCUUGGUUCUGGCAUCGAUGAAGAACGCAGCGAAAUGCGAUAAGUAAUGUGAAUUGCAGAAUUCAGUGAAUCAUCGAAUCUUUGAACGCACAUUGCGCCCGCCAGCAUUCUGGCGGGCAUGCCUGUUCGAGCGUCAUUUCAACCCUCAAGCUCUGCUUGGUGUUGGGGCCCUACGGCUGACGUAGGCCCUCAAAGGUAGUGGCGGACCCUCCCGGAGCCUCCUUUGCGUAGUAACUUUACGUCUCGCACUGGGAUCCGGAGGGACUCUUGCCGUAAAACCCCCAAUUUUCCAAAGGUGACCUCGAUCAGUAG